rnacentral:lncRNA from 1 species
CAUCGGGUAUGUCAAUGGUUGAGGGAUCUGUUGCUACAAUGUCUGCCCCAGAAUCAGUUGAAAGCCACGCCCUUCAGCUUCAUCCAUCUCCUCCGAGUCCGCUUCUUUCGCCAUCUCCAAUCACUUCAUCUCAUGAAACUUCUGAUACUGAGGUAGCAGGAACUAAUUCACCAUCAGCGACUUCAGCUUUGUCUUCACAGGGGAGCAAUAUUACGACAUUUUCUUUGACUCAGACGAACCCUUAUUCUUCACCUGCUCUGGCCGCACCUUCCCAGCCACCUUUGUGCAGGCCAUCCCUGUCACUUUCAAGUAACAUCCGGUCAUUUUCACCUCCUCCACCUCCCCCACCCCCUCCGCCUCCACCAUUAACUAGCUCGAGGAUGACUUCACUGGGUGCCUUUUCUCCUCCCCCACCACCACCACCUCCACCUCUGCCCUCAUCAUCCAGUGUAAUAAAUGUUGGUAGGGUCCCUCCACCACCCCUUUGGAUGGGGUAUGGGACUACCUCAGAAGUAGUAUCUAGUUCAUCACCACCUCCACCUCCACCUCCACCUCCUCCACCACCUCCUCCUCCUACACCUCCUACUCUUUCCCCACGAAUCCUACAUACCUCGCAAGUUGCUCCACCUCCACCGCCCCCACCACCACCACCUCCUUCAACCUACGUUCCCCCUCCUUUAUACAACACUCAAUCUGCACCAUCUCCACCACCUCCCCCUCCUUUUUCUAGAGCGCCAACUCCACCACCUCCCCCUCCCCCUCCUUUUUCUAGAGCGCCAACUCCGCCACCUCCCCCUCCCCCUCCUUUUUCUAGAGCGCCAACUCCGCCACCUCCCCCUCCCCCUCCUUUUUCUAGAGCGCCAACUCCGCCACCUCCCCCUCCCCCUCCUUUUUCUAGAGCGCCAACUCCACCACCACCACCUCCAUUGCCUGGAGCUCCACCUCCUCCUAUGCGGGGGCCUCCACCGCCUCCUCCUCCUCCUAUAUACACAUCCAAUUUACCAAGAUUGGCUAGCUUUGGGGGUUCCACAUCGCUGCCAC